CCCUUAGAUGUUCUGGGCUGCACGCGCGCUACACUGAUGCAUGCAACGAGUUUUCGACCUUGCCUGAAAAGGUUGGGUAAUCUGUUUAACAUGUGUCGUGAUGGGGAUAGACCAUUGCAAUUAUUGAUCUUCAACGAGGAAUUCCUAGUAAGCGCGAGUCAUCAGCUCGUGCUGAUUAUGUCCCUGCCCUUUGUACACACCGCCCGCCGCUCCUACCGAUUGAGUGAUCCGGUGAAUGAUUCGGACCAGCGUGCUGCUCAGAUCCUGCGCAGUGUGCUGGGAAGUCUAGUGAACCUUAUCACUUAGAGGAAGGAGAAGUCGUAACA
rnacentral:rRNA from 1 species